AUUGAACGCUGGCGGCAGGCCUAACACAUGCAAGUCGAGCGGAGCGGCGGACGGGUGAGUAAUGCCUAGGAAUCUGCCUGGUAGUGGGGGAUAACGUCCGGAAACGGGCGCUAAUACCGCAUACUAUCAGAUGAGCCUAGGUCGGUUUAGCUAGUGGGUGUGGUAACGGCCUACAAAGGCGACGAUCCGUAACGGGUCUGAGAGGAUGAUCAGUAACACGGGAACUGAGACACGGUCCAGACUCCUACGGGAGGCAGCAGGGGGGAAUAUUGGACAAUGGGCGAAAGCCUGAUCCAGCCAUGCCGCGUGUGUGAAGAAGGUCUGCGGAUUGUAAAGCACUUUAAGUUGGGAGGCGUUACCAACAGAAUAAGCACCGGCUAACUUCGUGCCAGCAGCCGCGGUAAUA
rnacentral:rRNA from 1 species